rnacentral:rRNA from 1 species
UUCCUACGGGUGGCAGCAGUAAGGAAUAUUGGUCAAUGGAGGCAACUCUGAACCAGCCAUGCCGCGUGCAGGAAGACGGCCCUAUGGGUUGUAAACUGCUUUUGUACCAGAGAAAACCCUCUUACGUGUAGGAGGUUGAUAGUAUGGUAAGAAUAAGCAUCGGCUAACUUCGUGCCAGCAGCCGCGGUAAGACGAAGGAUGCAAGCGUUAUCCGGAUUCAUUGGGUUUAAAGGGUGCGUAGGCGGACCUGUAAGUCAGUGGUGAAAUCUCUCAGCUUAACUGAGAAACUGCCAUUGAUACUGCAGGUCUAGAGUAUAGAUGACGUUGGCGGAAUAUGACAUGUAGUGGUGAAAUACUUAGAUAUGUCAUAGAACACCGAUUGCGAAGGCAGCUAACGAAACUAUAACUGACGCUGAGGCACGAAAGUGCGGGGAUCAAACAGGAUUAGAUACCCUUGUAGUCCA